rnacentral:misc_RNA from 1 species
AAAAUGCGAUAAGUAAUGUGAAUUGCAGAAUUCAGUGAAUCAUCGAAUCUUUGAACGCACAUUGCGCCCGCCAGUAUUCUGGCGGGCAUGCCUGUUCGAGCGUCAUUUCAACCCUCAAGCCCCCGGGUUUGGAGUUGGGGAUCGGGCUGCGGUUCUACCGCGUCCCGGCCCCGAAAUCUAGUGGCGGUCUCGCUGCAGCCUCCAUUGCGUAGUAGCUAACACCUCGCAACUGGAACGCGGCGCGGCCAAGCCGUUAAACCCCCAACUUCUGAAUGUUGACCUCGGAUCAGGUAGGAAUACCCGCUGAACUUAAGC